rnacentral:rRNA from 1 species
GUAGAGGUGAAAUUCGUAGAUAUUAGGAGGAACACCAGUGGCGAAAGCGGCUCUCUGGACGGUGACUGACGCUGAGGCACGAAAGCAUAGGUAGCAAACAGGAUUAGAUACCCUGGUAGUCUAUGCCGUAAACGAUGGGCACUAGUCGGUGCGGGUAUUGACCCCUGCGCUGACGAAGCUAACGCAUUAAGUGCCCCGCCUGGGGAGUACGGCCGCAAGGCUAAAACUCAAAGGAAUUGACGGGGGCCCGCACAAGCGGUGGAGCAUGUGGAUUAAUUCGACGCAACGCGCAGAACCUUACCUAGCCUUGACAUGUUAGCGUACGACCCCCAAAAGGGUCUGACCUUCGGGAACGCUUACACAGGUGCUGCAUGGCUGUCGUCAGCUCGUGUCGUGAGAUGUUGGGUUAAGUCCCGCAACGAGUGCAACCCCUACCCUUAGUUACCAGCGGUUCGGCCGGGCACUCUAGGGGAACUGCCGGUUUUAAGCCGGAGGAAGGUGGGGAUGACGUCAAGUCCUCAUGGCCCUUACGGCUAGGGCUUCACACGUGCUACAAUGGUUGGUACAAAGGGUCGCAAUACCGCGAGGUGGAGCCAAUCCCAAAAAACCAAUCUCAGUUCGGAUUGGAGUCUGCAACUCGACUCCAUGAAGUCGGAAUCGCUAGUAAUCGUGGAUCAGCAUGCCACGGUGAAUACGUUCCCGGGCCUUGUACACACCGCCCGUCACACCAUGGGAGUUGAUUGGACCAGAAGUCGUCGAGCUAACCUUCGGGAGGCAGGCGCCCAAGGUCUGAUGAGCGACUGGGGUGAAGUCGUAACAAGGUAGCC